rnacentral:lncRNA from 1 species
CGCAGAACGAAGGAGCUGGCUCUGGAGUUAGCGCCUGGUGACACUGCCAUCCUCUGCAUCUUCGUUUCUUUCUCCACAAACUAGAAAUAAAACCGCUUGCUGUGAAAACACACUCAGCGCUUCUCCGUGCGUGCCAGUCACAGAGCUCUUGGUUUAACGUGUCAUGUUCGUGGCUUGGGGGACGCCUGGCCCCAGUGGCCCAUCUCAAUCCAGUCAUUUUAAGACCUGUGCGACAUGAUUCCGGGUCAGAAGGCCUCCAACGAAUAAUGCACAGGAAUAUAAAGGAUUGUGGAACAUGUAUGAGGAUGUAUCAUGGUCAUGGAAGUCUCAGCAUGUAUUUUGGUUUUUAAACAAGAAAAUGGAUGCCAGGUACUCAGAACAAAAUGGGCAAGAGAAGAUGGGGCCUUGAUAUGUAUCUAAAAGAUCUGCUAUUUUUCUUUCCUCUCUGCAUCUGGUGAGGUUCCAGUAUCUGGAAAUUGACCAGCAAAUAAUAAAAUACAUUUAUAUCCAAG